AGUGAAUGUCAUUGCUCAGCAACCAUGGGUUAUUCCAUAGUGGAGACGAGGGAAAGGGACGAUAUUCGAUAAACGAUAUUCAAAUCCCUGUCGAAAUCAUCGAAACUGGACCGGACUCUUAUUUUCCGACUUUCCCGACAAAAACGGCAGACGUGAGGUCAGGGCUGUAGGAUGGGUUGAAACCAGGAGUAGGAUGAUCAUGAAAAAAAGGGACGACGAAGAGCGGAGAUGAGAUGAAGCGACAGGUGGUUGACAAGUCACGCCUGGCCGAGGAACUGGUCGCUUUGAACAAACCGCCGACCUAAUAGCUAACCAGAGGAAGCCACAGAACAACUCCAGGACCAACAUCGUGCCAGCGAAAAUAUGAAGAAACGAGGUCAGGGCAGUAGGACGCUGUCAGGAGCAGGAUGAUCAUGAAGAAGGGACGAAGAGGAGCGGAUAUAUGAGAUGAAGCGAUAGGUAAAUGCUCUUUACCUGUCCUUUUUGGCCGGGUUGUUAAUGGGUCUUAUCAUAAUGAUAUUCAAAAAAUUAUUGCAACUAAGGCUUGCAGUAAAAAAAAACAAUUUCAUCAUCACGGACGCUUCUAGUUGAAUCAAAUGUCAAAGUUUGCGCUACCAAAGAAUUAUUUCUGUACGAAGCAGAAACACUGUCACAACGAUCGUACAGAUAAUUUGAAAAUGGAAUAUAUCUUGUCGUAUGCAGUGUCUGGAAAAAGUGUUUGGGUUGUCUCCAGAGGAUUGCGCCCCAGAUUUAGGACUUUGUGUGUAACAUUAGAAGGUACGGGUAUAUCCUAUUUUAAAACAGAUAUAAUUCCAAUUUGAUAACUU